rnacentral:rRNA from 1 species
GGAAUUGACGGGGAGCACCACAACGGGUGGAGCUUGCGGUUUAAUUGGAUUCAACGCCGGAAAUCUUACCGGGACCGACAGCAAUAUGAAGGCCAGGCUGAAGACUUUGCCGGAUUAGCUGAGAGGUGGUGCAUGGCCGUCGUCAGUUCGUACUGUGAAGCAUCCUGUUAAGUCAGGCAACGAGCGAGACCCACGCCCACAGUUGCCAGCGUACUCUCUGGAGUGACGGGUACACUGUGGGACCGCCGCUGCUAAAGCGGAGGAAGGAAUGGGCAACGGUAGGUCAGUAUGCCCCGAAUAUCCCGGGCUACACGCGAGCUACAAUGGUUGGUACAAUGGGUAUCUACCCCGAAAGGGGACGGGAAUCUCCUAAAACCAAUCUUAGUUCGGAUUGAGGGCUGCAACUCGCCCUCAUGAAGCUGGAAUCCGUAGUAAUCGCGUUUCAACAGAACGCGGUGAAUACGUCCCUGCUCCCU